GACGAACGCUGUCUGCGUGCUUAACACAUGCAAGUCGAACGGAAAGGCCCUGCUUUUGUGGGGUGCUCGAGUGGCGAACGGGUGAUUAACACGUGAGUAACCUGCCCUUGACUUUGGGAUAACUUCAGGAAACUGGGUCUAAUACCGGAUAGGAGCUCCUGCUGCAUGGUGGGGGUUGGAAAGUUUCGUCGGUUGGGGAUGGACUCGCGGCUUAUCAGCUUGUUGGUGGGGUAGUGGCUUACCAAGGCUUUGACGGGUAGCCGGCCUGAGAGGGUGACCGGCCACAUUGGGACUGAGAUACGGCCCAGACUCCUACGGGAGGCAGCAGUGGGGAAUAUUGAACAAUGGGCGGAAGCCUGAUGCAGCAACGCCGCGUGAGGGAUGACGGACUUCGGGUUGUAAACCGCUUUCGCCUGUGACGAAGCGUGAGUGACGGUAAUGGGUAAAGAAGCACCGGCUAACUACGUG
rnacentral:rRNA from 1 species